GGGCCCCAACUCUUAAUCUUAAUACCUAAUAAGAUUGAGCAUGCUACCAAAAAGUAUUGUUUUGUUUACCCCAUCUAACUAAAUGUAGGUCGUAUGAAAAAAUGUAUUCAAGACACGAUAGCAAUAAGUACUUUUCAAAUAGACGUCUUUAAAUUCGAAGAAGUACUGACCUUGUUAAAUGCCCAAAUUUAUUAAUAUGCAAGAUAU
rnacentral:lncRNA from 1 species